GUCAAACCGAGUUCAUUGCUCCUUCCUCUUCUCUGUGGAGAGUCCAGGUGUGCGUGCCACGUGCUCAGUAGCCUGUGACCGGUAAGUACUGAAAAAUCUGUAAGGAGGAUGCUGGGACAACAAGGAAGCCAGGAAAUGCCCUUCCCUCCUCUGUCUGCUCUCCCCUUCCCCUAUGUCCCACCAUGUCAUUAAUUGUCAUUAAUUGUCUUCAAAUCAAAAUUGAGUACAUAGGAUUCAUACUUCUCCACUCCUGUGAUGCUUCACUAAGAAUAAUGUGUUCCAAUUCCAUCCAGGAUCUGGUGACUGUUGCUUUGAAAAUUAAAUAGCCAAGAAGCAGAGCCCUAUGCAACAGUUCUUGUAGGUAAGUGGGAGUCCACCUUCGGCAGGCAUCUGGCUCCAAGUUGCAAAUCUACAUCUUGUCAUGAAGACACUACAGCCAAUUCAAAUUGCUUUUGGGGAUAGUCACAAUAGAGAUAAACUUCCCAAGUACAGUGAACUUAGAAACUGCUAUAUAUGAAAAAUGGUGCUAUCAUAUCUUCUGCUUGAAGACUUAAUUAUGGAAACUUUUCUUUAUUCUUUUUGUUAUUUAUUUAUUUUUUGAGGCAGAAUCUCACUAUGUCACUCUUGGUAGAGUGCUGUGGUGUCACAAGUCAUAGCAACCUCAAACUCUUGGGCUCAAGCAAUUCUCUUGCCUCAGCCUCCCAAGUAGCUGGGACUACGGGCGCCUGACUAUUUUUAGAGAAGGGGUCUCGCUCUUGCUCAGCCUGGUCUCAAACCUGUGAGCUCAGGCAAUCCACCCACCUUAGUCACUCAAAGUGCUAGGAUUACAGGUGUGAGCCACCUGGCCUUGCCAAUAUCUUUAUUUUGCAAGUUCUUACCUUAUUUGCUGUGAGUCACAUGAUAUUCUGGCUUAAUUAUUUAACACACUAGUUUUUUCACCCUGUGUUAUCAUAGUGGAUAGAUUUUCGGGGGUGGCAGGUAUGUCGUACCCAUUAUAUUUUUGAAAUGCUGUCCCAUGUUUCCCAAAGUGAUCCAAAAAUAAAAUGUCAGACAAGUUUCACUGUGGAGGGGCCUUUUGUUCUGGAGUUGCAGUCACAAUCUACAGUUGUGCAGCACACUGUCCAGUACCCCACUAUCUAUAGGGAGAAACUUCUCUUUGGCUCUUAAGAUUGACAGUCUUUUUUUUGAGACAGAGUCUCACUCUGUUACCCUGGGUAGAGUGCCAUGGCAUCAGAGCUCACAGCAACCUCCAACUCUUUGGCUUAAGCGCUUCUCUUGCCUUAGCCUCCCAAGUAGCUGGGACUACAGGUGUCCACCACAACACCCUGGCUAUUUUUUGUUGCAGUUGCCACUGCUGUUUUAGCUGGCCAGGGCCAGGUUCAAACCUGCCACCCUCGGUAUAUGGGCCUGGCACCCUACCCACUGAGCUACAGGCGCCACCCCAAUUGAUAGUCUUUUAUUGAACAGUUAGACCAGAUUUAUCAAAAAAAUAACUUCACAGCAGAGUAAACAGUCAUUCCAGCUGGGUCUCGGUGCACUUGUCGUGUUCAAAACUUCAAUCUGAGUCAGAGUCUAGAGUCUAAGGAGUUCCAAAACUCAACCAAGUUGCACAUGGGCAUUGAGUAGGUCUUAGAAUCUCAGUUUCCCCUUUUCCUUUUAUGCAAAUGUUCAUGGAUGUGAGGAAGCCACCUGCAACUCCCCCUUCCCCACAAGAUCUAAAUCUAUAGCUCCAAAACUUAAAUCUAGGUCCUAGGAUUCUCCGUGAUGUGUUAGAUUUUUUCCAUGAGGGGAUCUCUCCUCAGCUUCCCUCCCCUUGCUGUAACCCCCAUAGAGUAAGACUGAUCUCGCCUAGAAACUUCCCAUAACAUCUGGACCCAACCUGAGAUUCACAAAACAGCCAGAUUUUGAAGUGAGACUAUACAGAAAACCGAGCGGUGACAUUUUCUGCAUUAAGAGAUUGACAUAGAUAUUUUAAGUCCCCAAUUUUGGAGUUGGUAGCAUUGAGUUUUCCAGGUCUUGUCCAGUUUUCUGGUGUAAGCAGAAUCUGGUGACCAAACCCGAACAGACAACGGAGGGCAGGAUCCAAAAGUAUCCACUGUCAUGACCCCAACCAUACCUGCCUGUACACUGUGUUCCUGGGUAUUUUUAUCCUUCCUCUUACUCCAGAGGUAGCUGAUCAUAGACAGGUAACAGCUCAGAGCUGCUCCAGGGUCAGAUGCUCCACAUGAGCAAGUUUAGCCUCUCUGACUCACCCAGCCUGAGUUUCUCCUGCCUGCAUCACCACGGGGGCAUUAGCCUAAUGUUACUCAGGACUCUCUUACUAGGACCUGGAAGAUUGUGACAUAGAGUGUCUUGUAUGUUAAUCCUGACCCCAUCUAAGAGGGGGAGAGAUGAGUGGUCCGUGGUUUGUUUCUCCCCUCACAGGAGCAUCCUCGUUGUCGGGUGCCCAGAUGGGAGCUGCUCCCGUGUCUUGGUACUUGGCUGAAGAGCAAGGCUGAGGUCUGGAGAUGGAACUUGAUAGAUCAAUCAGUUGCCUUCAUGUUAGCUGCCAUGAGAAGACCAGAGGAAGCUGUGGACUCUGACAUCCAGGAACUUUCAGUCUAAAAGUAUAUAUAUAAAUGGUUGCACUUCGCAACCUGUGUUUCACACCAAGAAAGAAUGUGUACAGGGGACUUGGCCUUCAUUCCCACCACUUCUUUUAUGUGGUUGUGAGUGCUGAUGUCACCACUGAAGGACACUUUAAGAACAGAAAUGUCAUGAUUAUGAUUGUUCUAUUGCUUUUACCUUGUUAAAAAUAAAUACUAAGGUUAUAAUAUUUUCUUAGACAACCCUAUGUGUUUUGGUUAAAUUGUUUCUUAUAUACAUUAUGUUACAAAAUAAGAAUAGGGUUUGAAAAAUUAAAGUAUAACAAAGUUGUGUGAGUAAAAUUUCUGUUGGGCAGAUGUAGGGAAGAUAGAACUGAUAACAGUGAGGCAGUGUAGA